rnacentral:rRNA from 1 species
AUUGAACACUGGCGGCAGGCCUAAAACAUGCAAGUCGAACGAGUGGCGGACGGGUGAGUAAUGUCUGGGAAACUGCCUGAUGGAGGGGGAUAACUACUGGAAACGGUAGCUAAUACCGCAUACCAUCAGAUGUGCCCCGAUGGGAUUAGCUGGUUGGUGGGGUAACGGCUAACCAAGGCGACGAUCCCUAGCUGGGCUGCGAGGGUGACCGGCCACACUGGAACUGAGACACGGUCCAGACUCCUACGGGAGGCAGCAGUGGGGAAUAUUGCACAAUGGUCGCAAGCCUGAUGCAGCAAUGCCGCGUGUAUGAAGAAGGCCUUCGGGUUGUAAAGUACUUUCAGCGGGGAGGCGUUACCCACAUAAGAAGCAACGGCUAACUCCGUGCCAGCAGCCGCGGUAAUAC